rnacentral:rRNA from 1 species
AUUGAACGCUGGCGGCAGGCUUAACACAUGCAAGUCGAGCGGGGAAAGGUAGCUUGCUACCUGACCUAGCGGCGGACGGGUGAGUAAUGCUUAGGAAUCUGCCUAUUAGUGGGGGACAACAUUCCGAAAGGAAUGCUAAUACCGCAUACGCCCUACGGGGGAAAGCAGGGGAUCUUCGGACCUUGCGCUAAUAGAUGAGCCUAAGUCAGAUUAGCUAGUUGGUGGGGUAAAGGCCUACCAAGGCGACGAUCUGUAGCGGGUCUGAGAGGAUGAUCCGCCACACUGGGACUGAGACACGGCCCAGACUCCUACGGGAGGCAGCAGUGGGGAAUAUUGGACAAUGGGCGAAAGCCUGAUCCAGCCAUGCCGCGUGUGUGAAGAAGGCCUUUUGGUUGUAAAGCACUUUAAGCGAGGAGGAGGCUACUUAGAUUAAUACUCUAGGAUAGUGGACGUUACUCGCAGAAUAAGCACCGGCUAACUCUGUGCCAGCAGCCGCGGUAAUACAGAGGGUGCGAGCGUUAAUCGGAUUUACUGGGCGUAAAGCGUGCGUAGGCGGCUUUUUAAGUCGGAUGUGAAAUCCCUGAGCUUAACUUAGGAAUUGCAUUCGAUACUGGGAAGCUAGAGUAUGGGAGAGGAUGGUAGAAUUCCAGGUGUAGCGGUGAAAUGCGUAGAGAUCUGGAGGAAUACCGAUGGCGAAGGCAGCCAUCUGGCCUAAUACUGACGCUGAGGUACGAAAGCAUGGGGAGCAAACAGGAUUAGAUACCCUGGUAGUCCAUGCCGUAAACGAUGUCUACUAGCCGUUGGGGCCUUUGAGGCUUUAGUGGCGCAGCUAACGCGAUAAGUAGACCGCCUGGGGAGUACGGUCGCAAGACUAAAACUCAAAUGAAUUGACGGGGGCCCGCACAAGCGGUGGAGCAUGUGGUUUAAUUCGAUGCAACGCGAAGAACCUUACCUGGUCUUGACAUAGUAAGAACUUUCCAGAGAUGGAUUGGUGCCUUCGGGAACUUACAUACAGGUGCUGCAUGGCUGUCGUCAGCUCGUGUCGUGAGGUGUUGGGUUAAGUCCCGCAACGAGCGCAACCCUUUUCCUUAUUUGCCAGCGGGUUAAGCCGGGAACUUUAAGGAUACUGCCAGUGACAAACUGGAGGAAGGCGGGGACGACGUCAAGUCAUCAUGGCCCUUACGACCAGGGCUACACACGUGCUACAAUGGUCGGUACAAAGGGUUGCUACCUAGCGAUAGGAUGCUAAUCUCAAAAAGCCGAUCGUAGUCCGGAUUGGAGUCUGCAACUCGACUCCAUGAAGUCGGAAUCGCUAGUAAUCGCGGAUCAGAAUGCCGCGGUGAAUACGUUCCCGGGCCU